UACAACGAAACCAUUGUCGACUGCCCGACUUGCACUUGUGGCUGCCAGAACAACAUAACUAAACCAGGAAGCUGCGUGGAGGGAGACUCACCUUAUUUAGCUUCUGCGAUAGAUGGUCCGGGAAAAAGCAGCUUGACACCUUUGGUCCAGUGCACACCGCAUAUGUGUCCUAUAAGGGUGCACUGGCAUGUUAAGCUCAACUACAAA
rnacentral:misc_RNA from 1 species